AAACUCGCGGGAAAGAGGUUCCUGUUAAGUUUGACUCUAGUUUGGCUUUGUGAAAAGCAAAGAGAGGUGUAGCAUAGGUGCGAGGGUUCAGUCAACAAUAAAAUACCACCAUUUUCAGUGACCCUUUAGUUUUUCGGUGAAAAGAAAAUUAAGUCUUUCGGCUCGAAACUAUUCUGCUAUUUGCCGCUUUUUGUUAGCGGUUUAUAGACGAGAAUUAGUUCAGAAUUAAGAAAGAUGCUAGAAGAUUCGCAUGGUACAUCGGUAGCACAGUGGUUAGUGCAGUCUGCCGGAAACAGAAAGACGCGGGUACAAUUCCCGUCCGAUGUCAGUGUUUUGCGAAUAACCUAUCAUCUCCAAAUAUAUAAGUCUUUCGGCCCGUUUUCCCAACAAAAGUAGCUGGUCGUGACUGUGACUCUCGCCAAAGACUGUGUCAAGAGAGGAGUGUGGCGGUACAUCUGUCAAGCUGUAGAGGAGGAGUUCUAAGGAUGGCUCAGAGACGACGCAAAACUCUCGUAAAGCAAAAGGUAAAAAGCCUACUUGAUCUUGACUUUCAGUACGAGUACAGACUGCAAAAGCGUGGCCUAUCCAUCCUUUCAAUCCAGAUGGUUCCUGAUAAAAGGUGUCAGAAAAGUUACCACGUGGAUAGUUGGCUUGCGGCAGCCAAGUGUCCAUAAAUUGCUUUUUGCUCCUUCAACGUCGGCUCUUCCUACCACAAAGAGGGGACGUGAGGUGGGUUUAGACUGCCGUGAGACUUCAGUUUACUCCUACUAUUGACCAACUCUUGAUAGUCGGUCUGCUUAGUACGAGAGAAGCAACAAGUUCAGAGCUUUAGAUCAUGGACAUCGGUCAAUGGUCCGAAGGUACCGUCUAGGGAACCAAGAGUGGACAUUUCUUCAGACGGGUUCAUGUGUCAGAAUUCCGAUUUUCCCUAGAGGUGCAUUUAAAUCCUGGGUACACGUUUUCUAGAUGUCGAAGGGCUUAUAAGGGUAUAACGUGAUUAGACCAGCUCGAGAAACUCUAAGCUGUGAACUCUUAAUAAAAGGAAAAAUGAGUCUCCAAGAGAGAGGGCGAGAUUUACAGCUUUAGCUGAGUGAUGAAAAUGCCGAAAAUGUCUCGAGACGAUUACGUUCGACGCGCUUCAAUAACACACUUCAGCGUUCUCU
rnacentral:ncRNA from 1 species